ACUAAUGGCAUAUUAUUUUUACUACAAAUCCAUGAGAGUUGCCAGCUUCCUGCCCAUUGCUGCAAGACGUACCAUUUGAGUCCUUCAGUUACCCCACAUCGAGAGAACACUCGGGCUCAAUGAAGAUCAGCACCAUGUCAGAGGCAUGAGAAGGAGGCAUAGCCUUCACUUCAAGAUAAGCCUUCAACGAAGAAGCAGCGGGUAGAAGGCACACUGUGUUGCCUGUUGAAAGACAGAUUCUUGAUGAGUAACUGACUGCUGAACAGUACUGCAUGUUUCUGAGGUUCCUCUGUUAUUCUUGGAGUUCACUAUCCCUGCAUCCUCCCCAGGACAAGAAGUUCAUUUUCCUCAUUGUAUUGUGUUAUGCCAAGAAUAUUACUAUUGUUCAGUGAAUAUAAAAUAAUUAUUAUAGCAACAAUUAUUUUGGCAUCCUAAAUAAGGCUGAUCCAUGGCAAUGGUA